UUCGCAAUGCCCGAAAGGGUGACGAAGCGACGCCGCGUGGGUGAGGAAGGCCUUCGGGUUGUAAAGCCCUGUCAGGAGUUAAGAAAUGUAAGUGCGCUAAUAUCGCAUUUAUUUGACAAAGGCUCCAAAGGAAGUCACGGCUAACUCUGUGCCAGCAGCCGCGGUAAUACAGAGGUGGCAAGCGUUGUUCGGAAUUAUUGGGCGUAAAGAGCACGUAGGUGGGUUUGUAAGUCAGAUGUGAAAGCCUUCUGUUCAACGGAAGAAUUGCAUCUGAAACUGCGAGUCUUGAGUGUAGGAGGGGAGAAUGGAACUUCUGGUGGAGCGGUGAAAUGCGUAGAUAUCAGAAGGAACGCCGGCGGCGAAAGCGAUUCUCUGGCCUAUUACUGACACUCAGUGUGCGAAAGCUAGGGGAGCAAACGGGAUUAGAUACCCCGGUAGUCCUAGCCGUAAACGAUGGGCACUAAGUAGAGGGGUUUU
rnacentral:rRNA from 1 species